rnacentral:rRNA from 1 species
GACGAACGCUGGCGGCGUGCUUAACACAUGCAAGUCGAACGGAAAGGCCCUGCUUUUGUGGGGUGCUCGAGUGGCGAACGGGUGAGUAACACGUGAGUAACCUGCCCUUGACUUUGGGAUAACUUCAGGAAACUGGGGCUAAUACCGGAUAGGAGCUCCUGCUGCAUGGUGGGGGUUGGAAAGUUUCGGCGGUUGGGGAUGGACUCGCGGCUUAUCAGCUUGUUGGUGGGGUAGUGGCUUACCAAGGCUUUGACGGGUAGCCGGCCUGGGAGGGUGACCGGCCACAUUGGGCCUGAGAUACGGCCCAGACUCCUACGGGAGGCAGCAGUGGGGAAUAUUGCACAAUGGGCGGAAGCCUGAUGCAGCAACGCCGCGGGCGGGAAGACGGCCUUCGGGUUGUAAACCGCUUUCGCCUGUGACGAAGCGUGAGUGACGGUAAUGGGUAAAGAAGCACCGGCUAACUACGUG